UUAGGGGACUUUUGUAAGUGGUGAAAGCAGUGGGUGUAGAAGGCGGCAAAAAGUAUUAUGCCUAGGCCUAAAUAGCGGAAGAAUGAGUGGGCCACUAGCUACGUUUAGCCUGGUAAGUGUAGCCUAAAUAGGUCAAUCCUUAUGGCCAGGCCUAAGGAGACCUAGACUAGUCCUAAACUUAGAUGGCCAACUACGGAAGAGGUUAAAGCUUAGCCUAGCUAGGCCCGGCCGGGCUCAAAUCAUUUCGGCCGCCGCUCGUUUCGGCCGCCAGAUUUUGAACAAUAGGAAGUAUGGCGCGCCAACACAGUUCCGUUGGUAGUGUGGUUGUUGCAGGAUGCGGAAGCUUAAUAAGCGUAGGCAAAUAAUAAUCUCUCCGUUUUUUAUUUAACUUUCUGUCUGUAAGUAUAGGCCUACAUAUUUGUACGUAAUGCAUGCUUAGGCCUAGGACCUAGGUCUACUACGCAUUUUUCAUUAGGUGUAUUUAUUUAUUUUUGUGGUUAAUGAAAUAUAAUAAUGCCUAAUGAUAACCUAAAUAUUGUGCUUAGGCCUAAAUUGAUUGUUAUACUUGUAGUAUUUUUCAGUAGCACGAAUGUCUAGUUGUAGUUGAUUACCUAUAUAGUAAUAACUGAUGAUAGUCGUAAUGAGUUGUAUGUCACUAUACUUAAUGUAAUUUUGUACUUUUUUGGAAUGUUAUAAACAUAUGUUGGCUAAUAUAAUAAAUAAAAUAUGUUGGCUAAUUUUAUAAACAUAUGUUCGUUGUUAUAAAUUAUUGUAACAAUUAUAUGAGUGCAGAAACUGAUUUAUCAUGAUAAUAAUUUUAAUUUGUUCUUAAGACGAUGAGGAAAAUAAAUUCUGUCUGAAACUAGUUUAAUUAAUGGUUAAUAUAUAUGUUUGUUGUUAUAAUUUAUAUAAUUAUAUACGUUUUUGUAAAUAUUAAACACUACAAGUCUCGCAAAAAAUACUAUAAAGCAAAAUUUAAACUGGUAUAGUUUUCAUUUAUUGAAACUUAUAUAAUAAAGCAUAUAUACAAAAAUAAGCAAAUUUGUAAAUAUUUCAUUUAACACAUGAUAAUGUUUAGUUAAUUAUGUAGAUACAUUAAGUGUAUGAGUAUACAAGUUAUAUAUACAUUAUGUACAUAGACCUAAGUCAAGUAAACAUAUUCCAGUAUUUAUUAAUGUUUAUUAUACAUUUUUAUUAUAUUCAUUACAUUCAUUAUUCAUGUUAAUAAUAGUUCCACGUAAUCAAUUAUUACUGCUUAAUCGCGGGUUUGCGGCGAGAUAAUUUUGCUGCCAACAUUCAGGAGUGAUUGGGCACUUCGCUGGCCGCCACGUAACUCUCGCCACAUCCUCAACAACCUCUCUGUACUCCUCUUCGAGCCAUUGGUCUGUGAUUUGGUUACAUCCUCGCGGUGUACCAACUCUGCUGUUAUGGACACUGUCACUGCCUCUUCGUACAUUAACAUACACAUGACAUAGAAUUGGAGGUUGGCUGAAAGAGAUAAGGAAUUGUAAUUCUGCUUUCCAUAUUACAAUAAAUAGUGACACACAGAGUGAAGAGUUUGGAAAAAUUGAUCAUGGUCUUUAAAAUCAGAAAAACAGUGUGUCAGGUUUAAUUGUACGGAGGUCUUUCAGAAAGUUUCAAACAGUAAGUCAAGCUGGAUUCACAGUAGCCUGCUUCUUUGAUGUGAUGGAGCAAAACCAAAGCCACGCAGAUGUGCGAUGUUGGUGAAUGAGAAUUUAUACAGAGUUUAACUACCUCAACAGUUUCUACUGAUUUUAGAUUUAGCUUGUAUAUGAACUUCAAUGGAAAACGGAGAAAACAAGUUUUAGUUGUUGACGAACAUAUGCUGCAGUAACAACACGCACUUCAAUGAAUUUUUACAUAAAUCUUCGGUACAUAUAUUUGGAAGUUGUAAUUUUGACAAGAUGACAAAAAUAUACAUCUGCAGGACAACAUAAUUUAAAACUGCAAAUUGACAAUUAAAAACUCGUACUUUUUGCAAAAUAAAAUGAUUGAUUAUAAAUAAGAAAUAUUUCAAAAUAAGUUUUGCUAAAUAUACAUGUUUUGAAGACCGAAAUACUUUGAUACACUAAGCUUCUUCUAUGAUGAAUACCGUCUUGGCUGAAGUCAACUGACAACUUGAAAUUAUGAAAGCAAGAAAUUUUUCUUACUGGUUGGCAGUUAUUAUUUUCAAGACCUUUUUUGAUGAGAAUGAUGGUGUUUGGAUUCUUUGUUGCUGUUAUCUAUUUAUAUUGAAAGACAUUGCAAUAUUACCACAGCUGUAGUCAAAUGGCAUGGAAAAACUGACUGAUAACAAUUGCAAGGAAAAGAGAUCUCAAUUGAAUCGAUAAAGACAUUGCAGCAUUUUUUAUAACACUGUCUCAUGGAGAUCAAUAUGCGUUUAAAUAUUUCUUGCCUUCAAAUGUUUUACUUUUAAAUGUAUGUGCCAUGACAUAUGAUAAGUAAUCAUCACUGCCGUUAGAAGUGGUUUGCGGAACAAUGUUAGUGAACUAAGAAAGAACCUACAUUAUAUCAAUACACAGCGUAAUAGACACCUCUGCAUGGACACCAAUGAGAUAUUCAUCCCGC